GGUAAGAUGGCCGAGUGUUUAGGCGGUGGGCUGUAGACUCAUGAAUAGAGGUUAAAUUCCUUUUCUUAUCA
rnacentral:tRNA from 1 species